AGGGCUUUUCUCUUUGCUGGAAAACUUUCCUUGGGCUACAUCUGUCUUUGGGUCAGACUUUCCUGGAGUCCCAAAGGUUCCUGGAGGCUCAAAAAGGAAAUAAGAACAGGAACAAGCCUUUCCCAUUUCACAGCUGACGGAAGAGUUGUUUGAUAAUGGCAGGGUAAUAACAGGCAGAACAAUUCAGAUUAGAAGUCCACAAAUCCACUUGACUAACACAGCUCAGGCCAGCAGCUCCAGAUAAUGGAAGUUAUUAUACAAAGUACAGCCCUUAUUUUGGAAGUUAAUACUUGUUCUUAUCUCCUUUAGGCUUUCUGUGAAAACUAUAAAUGCUCCAUCCUUCCCAGAGCCUUCUCAGGCCUGCUGCACAGAGUGCGUAAUAUGCUAAUAUUGGAGAUUUUGCUCAGUUUUAUACUCAAAAGGCUGUAAUCUGCUAAUGCCUAUCGCUUCUGGAGGUUAGACCAUGCAGUGAGCUCAGAGAGAUUGCUGCAUCUGGAAGCACUACAGAAACAUGCCUCAGGCAGCUGCUAUCUUUUCCAGUCCUCAGCAACUGCCAAACCUCGCUGCAGCUCCCUCACCUGAAGUGUGAAAGGGCAAAACCUGUCUGGCUGGAGAACAUCCAUCCCACAAAAAGGGAGUUUAAUACUCACCAGUGCCAUCCAUCUACUCAGAAGUUCCCACUUUUGGACAUGAUUUAUUCCUGUCAUUGUCCAGGACAAGUGUGGCAGACACCUUGAUCUCUCUAGGCUGCACAUCCCAUCCAGGAGAUACUGCUCUCCAUGGCUAUAAUCCAACACCUGCAUUUGAGCCACUGGAGGCAAAAAUCCAAAAUGUUCGCAAGGGGAAUGGAGCAGUGAGAAGGCGAAAGACAGUCUGCCAUGAUAUAAGGCUAUUGAGCACUGAUGAGCAAAGAGGAAGACACAAACCAACCCUAACCCUGUGAGAUGUCCAGCCUUUAGAGUGGACACAAAUCUGGGUUGUAAAAGCAGAAACAUGAACUGCACUUUGUGCUUGGGUCCCAGCUGCUCUGCCCAGGUUAGAGAAUGAACGCUACAAGUUGAAAACUACAGCACUACAGGCACGUUCACUGCUGCCUGUUCUAAUCAUCAGGCAGGAAAGCACAAGUGUUAAGUGGAUGAAUUUAAGAUUAAUUGCCUUUGUUAUUUUAGCAGGAGAGCCCCUGAUGCUCAUCCAUGCAGGCGCUGCUGGCUGCGACCAAAACCUGGCUGCCUCCUGGUUGCAAAGCACUGGCGGACAAGCAUGAUCCUCCUUGUAACACCACUGCUCCUAAACGACCUCCCAGGACUACGUCUCUCUGGGUGCACGUGAGAUGUAUCAAACCCCAUUAGGGCAUCUGUAGGGAUGGAUGCAGGGAUAGUGACCAUACUGCCACCUUCUUCCUACCAGAACAUUCUCUUUUUCUCUUGCUGCCCAUGCAGCAUCUAUCCU